GAACCCCAAGUUGGGAGGUGACGCGGCGUGAUCGUUCCACACGAGCAUCUCAUCUGGAAGAAGGAUAAUUACCGAUUGCUGUGGUUCUCGAUCGCCUGCGGCCCUGAGCCAAUCGUCAAGCCGAGAUUGAGCAAGAUCACGCUGUCUGGUGAGUUCUCUCAUCUCCGUUUCCAUCUGCAGAAUGAAGGCUGGGUUCAGUCGUAUGGUGAGCAGUGAGCUGCCCCUCUAAACCCAGAUCCCUGUUCUUAAUGUGGCCCGAAAGAAAGCCGGAUGCAUGGUCACCUUCUGAAUCUGGGCGUCUUUCUCUUUCAACAAGGUCUCGGAAUAAGAGCUGCUGGAAGGGAGGCCAGAGCAUCUCAGCUCGCCCUCCAAUCUCGCCAGCUCCUUCUGCAGGUGCUUGACCAGGGCCUUGUCCGACAUGACCACGUUGACCUGCGCGCUGGUGGCCACCUCCUUGGCGCAGCU
rnacentral:lncRNA from 1 species